CUCGCCGCGAGGCGAGGCCUGAAAGAAGCGCGGAGCAAAGGCGCGAGCCGAUGUACAAGAACCGGAUCUGAGGCCUACGGUGGCGGGCGAGCGGGCAAAUGAUCGCGAAGCCCAUAUCCAUCAAGCUCACUGGUGGUAAAUCCGGCGGUUGCGUGUCGAAGGCGGUCGAAC
rfam:Chloroflexi bacterium 13_1_20CM_54_36 13_1_20cm_full_scaffold_6686, whole genome shotgun sequence.